rnacentral:rRNA from 1 species
UAAUCUUAUCUGGUAAAGCGAAUGAUUAGAGGCCUUAGGGUCGAAACGAUCUUAACCUAUUCUCAAACUUUAAAUGGGUAAGAACCUCACCUUUCUUGAUAUGAAGGUUGAGGUUAUGAUAUAAUGUGCCCAGUGGGCCACUUUUGGUAAGCAGAACUGGCGCUGUGGGAUGAACCAAACGUAAUGUUACGGUGCCCAAAUUAACAACUCAUACAGAUACCAUGAAAGGCGUUGGUUGCUUAAAACAGCAGGACGGUGGACAUGGAAGUCGUAAUCCGCUAAGGAGUGUGUAACAACUCACCUGCCGAAGCAACUAGCCCUUAAAAUGGAUGGCGCUUAAGUUGUAUACCUAUACAUUACCGCUAAAGUAUAUGAUUUA